UGUGUUGCCCACAGCAGCAAAAAUUCAGUGUGCAAUGCUGUCACAGUGACAGCAUUGCACACUGAAUUUUUGCUGCUGUGGGCAACACA